AGUAAGGUCAGCUAAUUAAGCUCUUGGGCCCAUACCCCGAACAUGUUGGUUAACUUCCUUCCUUUACUA
rnacentral:tRNA from 1 species